GACAGAGGGUGCAAACGUUGCUCGGAAUUACUGGGCGUAAAGCGCGUGUAGGCGGACCACCAAGUCGGACGUGAAAGCCCUGAGCUCAACUCAGGAACUGCAUCCGAAACUGGCGGUCUGGAGUAGUGGAGAGGAAAGCAGAAUUCCUGGUGUAGAGGUGAAAUUCGUAGAUAUCAGGAGGAACACCGGUGGCGAAGGCGGCUUUCUGGACCGGUUCUGACACUGAGGAGCGAAAGCGUGGGGAGCGAUCCGG
rnacentral:rRNA from 1 species